UGUUUGAUGUUCUAACGUGGACCCGUGAUCCGGGUUGCGGACAGUGUCUGGUGGGUAGUUUGACUGGGGCGGUCUCCUCCUAAAGAGUAACGGAGGAGCACGAAGGUUGGCUAAUCCUGGUCGGACAUCAGGAGGUUAGUGCAAUGGCAUAAGCCAGCUUGACUGCGAGCGUGACGGCGCGAGCAGGUGCGAAAGCAGGUCAUAGUGAUCCGGUGGUUCUGAAUGGAAGGGCCAUCGCUCAACGGAUAAAAGGUACUCCGGGGAUAACAGGCUGAUACCGCCCAAGAGUUCAUAUCGACGGCGGUGUUUGGCACCUCGAUGUCGGCUCAUCACAUCCUGGGGCUGAAGUAGGUCCCAAGGGUAUGGCUGUUCGCCAUUUAAAGUGGUACGCGAGCUGGGUUUAGAACGUCGUGAGACAGUUCGGUCCCUAUCUGCCGUGGGCGCUGGAGAACUGAGGGGGGCUGCUCCUAGUACGAGAGGACCGGAGUGGACGCAUCACUGGUGUUCGGGUUGUCAUGCCAAUGGCACUGCCCGGUAGCUAAAUGCGGAAGAGAUAAGUGCUGAAAGCAUCUAAGCACGAAACUUGCCCCGAGAUGAGUUCUCCCUGAGACUUUAGGUCUCCUGAAGGAACGUUGAAGACGACGACGUUGAUAGGCCGGGUGUGUAAGCGCAGCGAUGCGUUGAGCUAACCGGUACUAAUGAACCGUGAGGCUUAACCUU
rnacentral:rRNA from 6 species